CCUACGGGAGGCAGCAGUGAGGAAUAUUGGUCAAUGGGCGCGAGCCUGAACCAGCCAAGUAGCGUGAAGGAUGACUGCCCUACGGGUUGUAAACUUCUUUUAUAAAGGAAUAAAGUGAGGCACGUGUGCCUUUUUGUAUGUACUUUUUGAAUAAGGAUAGGCUACCUCCGUGCCAGCAGCCGCGGUAAUACGGAGGAUCCGAGCGUUAUCCGGAUUUAUUGGGUUUAAAGGGAGCGUAGAUGGGUUGUUAAGUCAGUUGGGAAAGUUUGCGGCUCAACCUUAAAAUUGCAAUUGAUACUGGCAGUCUUGAGUACAGUUGAGGUAGGCGGAAUUCGUGGUGUAGCGGUGAAAUGCUUAGAUAUCACGAAGAACACCGAUUGCGAAGGCAGCUUACUAAACUGCCACUGACAUUGAUGCUCGAAAGUGUGGGGAGCAAACAGGAUUAGAUACCCUAGUAGUC
rnacentral:rRNA from 1 species